GUCGCAGUUUGAUGCUGUGUUCCUUCGCACAGUGAAACGCCUUGAGCCAUGAAGACAGAGUGUACCGUUGCAAUACUGUUGGUGUGUGCGUUGGCGAUGGCCCAGACCUUUCAGGAUGGUGCCAGGCUGCGCAGAGAACAGGUUGCUGCAGAAGUCCCAGCUGAGGAAGUGAUCCUCGUGGAUGAUACAGAUCCAGUGCUGAACGCGCCCAUAGUGGUGCAGGACGUGGCUGCCAGCGAAGUCUCCCUCAGUGAGACAGCCGACCAGAUCAAGGGACGUAGACAGCGUGCCGCCCGGCCCUUCAACAGGCCGUGCAGGGCCGGCUACAAGAGGUCACGCCGCGGUUGUGUACUUUCCCACUAAAACAUUCGGUGCUGUUCCUCAGGAACUGAACAGAAUCUGUGGACAAACUCGGUGAAGAAGUGUAAGAACUGCGAUAAUAUUUUUGCUGCGAUAAAACAUACUGGCAAGUUGUCGUGCUAUUUAAAUGGUGUAACGUCCUGGCAAACUAAUACUUUGUGUUGUAUCAGAACGUGAACCCACACUCUUCCUAUUACUGUUAAUAGUUGCGUCAUCCAUGCUCAAAGCUUCUGCUUAUGAGUAAUCGUAUUGAGCAUGCAAGCAUGUUCGCAAACAAAGGGUAUGUUUUGUCGCUGACUAACCUCCAUCAGUGUUCUGGUAGCAAUAACAAACAAACUCUUUCGCGAUUUUCCUUUACUCUUGUAGCUGGAUGGAUAAUUCCAAGUAACUUCCCUCCAGUCUGAGAAUGUGGCAUUACUUGUUUACAUUUUGUUACGACAUGUGUUUCCCUUUUAAUCUCUCUGGAGCAACUGUUUUUCCAAAACACACAUCAAAGUCUGAAAUAAAAUGUUAGAAAUUA